rnacentral:rRNA from 1 species
AUUGAACGCUGGCGGCAGGCCUAACACAUGCAAGUCGAGCGGAUGAAGAGAGCUUGCUCUCUGAUUUAGCGGCGGACGGGUGAGUAAUGCCUAGGAAUCUGCCUGGUAGUGGGGGAUAACGUCCGGAAACGGGCGCUAAUACCGCAUACGUCCUACGGGAGAAAGCAGGGGACCUUCGGGCCUUGCGCUACCAGAUGAGCCUAGGUCGGAUUAGCUAGUUGGUGAGGUAAUGGCUCACCAAGGCUACGAUCCGUAACUGGUCUGAGAGGAUGAUCAGUCACACUGGAACUGAGACACGGUCCAGACUCCUACGGGAGGCAGCAGUGGGGAAUAUUGGACAAUGGGCGAAAGCCUGAUCCAGCCAUGCCGCGUGUGUGAAGAAGGUCUUCGGAUUGUAAAGCACUUUAAGUUGGGAGGAAGGGCAGUAAGUUAAUACCUUGCUGUUUUGACGUUACCGACAGAAUAAGCACCGGCUAACUUCGUGCCAGCCGCCGCCGUAA